UCUGCAUUGACUUCACAGAUCUUAACAAAGCAUGUCCAAAGGAUAGUUAUCCCCUACCACGGAUUGACAACUUGGUGGAUAGCACGUCCGGACAUAAGUUGUACAGCUUCUUGGAUGCAUUUUCUGGUUAUCAUCAAAUCCUCAUGGCCGAAGAAGAUCAAGAAAAGACAUCAUUCAUGGCCGAUUCCGCCAUAUACUGUUAUAAGGUCAUGCCUUUCGGUUUGAAGAAUGCAGGGGCAACAUACCAAAGACUCAUCAACAAAGUCUUUGCUAACUUGAUUGGAAGGAAUGUGGAGGCGUACGUUGAUGACAUGGUGGUCAAGAGCAAACAGGUGGACCAACAUAUUUCAGAUCUUGAAGAAGUGUUCAACACCUUGCGAAAGUACGGAAUGAAGUUGAACCCCGCGAAAUGCGCAUUCGGCGUUGCCUCGGGCAAGUUCUUGGGCUUUAUGAUCACUCAUCGGGGGAUAGAGGCCAACCCUGACAAAAUACAAGCCUUGGCAUCUAUGGAAUCACCAAGGAACAAGAAAGAGGUACAGAGGUUGACUGGUAGGAUAGCAGCCUUGAACAGGUUCAUGUCCCGAGCAUCGGACAGGUGCUAUCCCUUCUUCAAAGUUCUCAGAGGAAACCAAGGCUUUGAUUGGAGUGAAGACUGUGAGAAAGCUUUCCAGGAGCUCAAACAGACGUUGGCAUCUCCCCCAAUUCUCACUAGGCCUGAGCCUGGUGACACCUUAUUUCUGUACUUGGCCGUAUCUCAAAACGCUGUCAGCGGGGUCUUGGUGAAAGAGGU
rnacentral:lncRNA from 1 species